rnacentral:rRNA from 1 species
AGUGAACGCUGGCGGUAGGCCUAACACAUGCAAGUCGAACGGCAGCACAGUAAGAGCUUGCUCUUACGGGUGGCGAGUGGCGGACGGGUGAGGAAUACAUCGGAAUCUACUUUUUCGUGGGGGAUAACGUAGGGAAACUUACGCUAAUACCGCAUACGACCUACGGGUGAAAGCAGGGGAUCUUCGGACCUUGCGCGAUUGAAUGAGCCGAUGUCGGAUUAGCUAGUUGGCGGGGUAAAGGCCCACCAAGGCGACGAUCCGUAGCUGGUCUGAGGGGAUGACCAGCCACACUGGAACGGAGACACGGUCCAGACUCCUACGGGAGGCAGCAGUGGGGAAUAUUGGACAAGGGGCGCAAGCCUGAUCCAGCCAUACCGCGUAGGUGAAGAAGGCCUUCGGUUUUUAAAGCCCUUUGGUUGGGAAAGAAAAUCAGCAGGUUAAUACCCCGCUGUUCUGACGGUACCCAAAGAAUAAGCACCGGCUAACUUCGUG